CCUACGGGAGACAGCAGUGGGGGAUAUUGCACAAUGGGGGGAACCCUGAUGCAGCGACGCCGCGUGGGUGAAGAAGCGCCUCGGCGCGUAAAGCCCUGUCAGCAGGGAAGAAAAGGACGGUACCUGAAGAAGAAGCCCCGGCUAACUCCGUGCAAGCAGCCGCGGUACUACGUAGGGGUCAAGCGUUAUCCGGAUUUACUGGGUGUAAAGGGGGCGCAGCAGGCGGUGCCAGCCAGGAGUGAAAGCGCGGGGCCCAACGCCGGGACUGCUCGUGGAACUGCGUGGCUGGAGUGCAGGAGGGGCAGGCGGAAUUCCUGGUGUAGCGGUGAAAUGCGUAGAUAUCAGGAGGAACACCGGUGGCGAAGGCGGCCUGCUGGACUGCAACUGACGUUGAGGCCCGAAAGCGUGGGGAGCAAACAGGAUUAGAUACCCGUGUAGUC
rnacentral:rRNA from 1 species